GCAUUAAUGGGGUAGUGGUAACCUGGGUCGUUGCCAUAUGGCGACUUCGACCCGCCGGGGGUUCGAUUCCCUCUUAAUGCA
rnacentral:tRNA from 1 species